CAAAAACCACACUAAAAAGUUAAUAUAUAAAGAAACUAAUAGAACAAAAAAGCUUGAAGUAUGGGGCGGGGAUAUGGAAGACCAAAAGAAAAUGUUAAAAACAAGAAAUAUUUGAAAGGAAACACCUUUAUCAGGAGAAAUUAAAUAUUACACUCCCAUUUUUCCUCUUUCUAAUAAUGGUAUGGAUCAACAAAUGAAGUUUGAAAUUUUUUUGUUUUUUUUGGUACCGGGGAUCGAACUUGGGACCUUGCGCUUACGAGGCAGGUGGUGGAACCGUUGAGCUAAAUCCCCAGGCCAUGAAGUUUGAACUUUUUAAGAUGACUAAAUAUAUUUUGUUUUUUAAGUGCACAACUGAUCUUUCUAUACUGUAAUUUUCUUUGAUGUGGCUGGAAAAUGGCCAGACUGCUAACUUUGUGCCUUUAAAAUGCAUUCUGCUUUGACAGUGGCAGACUUUUUGGUGCUGGAGAAGAUUUACUAGCAGUCAUUUAUGUGCUUUUCAGGAAGUAUCUUUCUACUUAGGCCUUGAGAGAUUCAAAGUAGCAUGACUUAGGCUUGGACCAAAUAUAAGAUCUUUUACAUUGUGAAGUAUAUUGAAUAAAAGGAUUGAAAAAUAUCGUAGUGGAAAUUUUGAUCGAUUUGUAAUUCUUUAACAUAUGUUUAAAGGUAUACAGACUUUUUAAAAAUCCUGAAAUUUUUUAGUACUUUUCCUUGUAUACAAAACAUUUUCUAAUUUAAAAAAUCACUAGGACUAUUGCCUUAGAAAGUAUUAAAAGGUACAGUUACCCUUACAUGAUGUGUAUGAGAUUUAAUAUUGAUGCUGAAAGAAAUGAAAACUCUGAUUCCAGAAUAAAUUGAAUUGGCUUUCAUUUGAGAGUCUUUACCUGAUUCCCAAUAGAAACUACUUAAAAAGGUUGAAAAUACUUCUUUAGAAUAGCUUUCUGCUACUACAUACAGCUCUGACACAAGUUGGGUCAGAUCUGUAGUAUUUCUGAGAGGGAGCUUACAAGACAUGUGAAAUCACUAAGAAAAUAAAAUCAAAUCUGAAUAUUUUAGCAGUAUGACUAAGCCAAGUGAAGACUCUUUGGCCAACAGUAGAGUUCUAUGCCAAUAAUUUCAUGUGGGGUCUAGGAACCAGUAGCUUGAUAUAAAAUCACCUGGUAUCAAUUCUGUCUAUGAAUCUUUCCAUCUCUUUAAAAUAGGGUGAGUCUUUUCUUCAUUUGCUUUCUAGUAAUUGUGACUUGCUAUAAGUAGGAAAUUAACAUCCUUGAAGUCACAGUCUAAGGGGAAUAUGGACGAACAGAGUUACUUUAUAGCAGACACUAAAUCUGAAAGUUCAGCAAUGCUGUUAUGAUUUUUUUUUGUAAAGUAAGGGGAGAGCAAGUUUGGGUAAACAUUGGCUGUUAUAAACCAAAAUGUCAUUAAUAGGAAUUAUAGUAAAAAUAUCCCCAAAUUUAGGGAGACCUCCAAGGUCAGACAGCUUAUCUCUCUCUCAGGACCCCUCUUACUACAAACAGCCUCUACUCAAAGAGUCCCAGGGAUAGCAAGCAUUUAUUCCAUAAUACCGCCCCCCUCCCCCCAGCAGUCUUGUAAAGAAAAAAAAUUUUUCUUUUGGUCUAAAUUGUGAAAAAAUUCAAAAACAUUUGGUAGAAAUUAAACUCUGUCAACAGUGUUUAUGCUAAGAAUAGGACAGUUUCUUAAGACCAUAUUAUUUUAAGUUUGGUGGUUGCUUUAAAUAUUUAUUUGAAUUUAAGAUUGGUUAAAUGGUAACAUAAAGCAAUUUAAUUGUUGGUUUUUAUUAGUGCCUUUUUUCUCUGUAUGCCUUUUAUUUUAUAUUACUAAUUCAGAUUACCCACCAAAAUGAGGAUUUUUUUUUUUUCCCCAAAUCAGUAGGCUUCAAGAGUUUAGACUGUGUAUUGGCCUUCAAAUGUUUCUUAAUGCCUACUUCCUCCUCCUGCCCUUUUCUUUUACCUCUUUUUUGUUUUUUUUUUUUAAUGUUAGGAAAGAAACAUUAGUGUUUGUCUGAGAUACUGCAAUCUCCGCUAGUCUUAAAUAAGCAUAGAGUUAUUCAAAGUAGUAAAUUGUUUUCUAGGUUGAUUACUUGAUUUUCAAUCACAUUGGCAUCCUCCAGGUUCUUUGUAUGUCAUGGUUCAGUUACAAUUUUCAUAGCAGAGCUAGAGUAGUUGUUUUUGCCUAAAGAGGUUGUUUAAAACGGUUUACCAGUGCUAAGCCAGUGAAUGAGAUGUGAGGCAAUGAGCAAAAAAUACAGAGACAGUAAAUUCUAAUCCUUAGGGUUUAACAUUUUGACAUAUACUCUAGCUUACUUUUCUGUGAAGUGUGUGUGUGUGUGUGUGUGUGUGUGUGUGUGUGUGUGGUGUUUGGAGUUGGGUGAGAGGAAAGGGAAUGAAGCAAGGAGAGGGAGGGAGGAAGAAAGGAAGAAGUAUGAAUGUUCAGUUAGAUCAGUCUCUGUUCUGAGAGGAGCAACACAAAAAUGUAUGACCUACUGACCAUGAAUGAAAAUAAUCAUCCUCCAGUAGGAAUGCCAGUACAUUUUUCCCAAGUAGCUAGUAUAAAUGAUUUUUAAUAGAGGUAUUUAUUGUAAAUUUCCAAGCUCUUUGUUGCUAAAAGUAGACUAAAAUUUAGUUUGUGUAUGUGUAUAAUAAUGAGCUUAUAUAUAAUUCUUCAAUAGAAAGUAAUUGAUGUCACAUAGUUCUUUAUGAACUCUUUGGAAUAGAAGUUCUGCCAGACAUUAUCUAAACAAGCUUUCUUAGCUUACCGAGUAUCCUAAAGGAAAUUCUCUUAUACCUCUUUUUGGUUGGCUAGGGAAAUGUGUGCUGUGAAAUCACUGUUCCUACUUCAUUGCUUUGACUUCUUCCAUGGCCUGAAUAGGAUGCCAUAAUAGGUGUGGGAAAUAUCAGGGCCACCCAUCUCUCUCUCUUUUCACUAUUGGGAGGUGUAGAUUCUAAUAAGCUCUCAGGGGAGCCUAGGGAUUCUUUAUACUUGGUUGAAAUGACAAUGGUCAGGGUUGACUUUCAUGGAGGUGAGGGAGGAGUCAUAGCUAUAGUAAAGAAUAAAUUGUACCUGUUGCCUGUAUACAGUGUCAUAUAAUUCUUCAUGUUUUUCGUAAUUGUGCAUUUUAAUCCACAGUCAUAUGGUAUUUUUGUUAGUAACAAAGGCUGUCAGUGAAUACUGUUAUCCUCUCUGCUUGAUGACUUAUUUGUAUCACAAUCUGUAUUAUCAGAAUCACUGUAAACCAAAGCUUUUAUAUUUCCUGCACACAUAGCCAAAAUGAUUAGUCCUGUUACAUCUGCCCACUUGUAAGCUAAUAGCAUAAAAAUGGUAAAGCAGGUACUAGUAGAAUGUGAUCCCAGUCUAUCCUUUGAGGAAAGGGACAGGUGCUCAGUGUUUGCAUUUAGACAUGCAGAAUUUACUUCACUUAUAAAGGAACUAUAUAGAUACUACAUACCUAAUUAACUUGUACUUGUGCCAAUCUUAUUGUCACUUGACCAUAGAUGCAUGUAGAUGUGUUAAUGUCUGAUGCUCAGGUUGGUGGCAUAUUUUCUCCCUAGUGUCUUAACAUGUAUGAGCUUGUGUUUGACUUGAGAGGCAUUUCACCAAAGCUGUGAAGAAAAGGAGGUUAUGGACUGACAUCUGCUUUGUGCUACAGACACUUUGGAACACAGGAAAGCACCUAUUUUUAGCAUAUGUGCAGAAUUUGUCCCCAAAUAAGGAUUUCUAAAUCUCUUAAUGCCAGUUGAGAAGAGUAAAGUUUAUGACUAUCCUGAAAAGCACUUUUCUGUUCAAUUAUUUAUAUUUUUUAGAACUUCUUUUUAAAAACCAUAUGUAACUAGUGAUGAGUUUAGCAUUAACAUUACUUGGAUGGGAGAGAUGAGUAACAAAACUGCGUCUUAAACUCUAUCAGAUAUUUAGAAUCCAGAAUGGAUUUGACAUAUUCUCAUUUUUCCAAAGAAUUUUUUCCACCUGGAAAUAAGAGAGGACUAGGGGAAGCAUUUGUAAAAAAAUGGGUAAAAGAGGAUCAGCCCCUUGCAAUACACAAUUUUCAAUUAAUAGUACAGUGUCUAGGUACAAGAAUACUUCUUUAAACACAAACUAUUAUUUUAAUACAAUCUUAGUAAAAGGUUUACAUAUUUUCUAUUGCUGUUGGUUUUUAAAUUUGCUAUCCUGCAUUCUGAAAUAUUAUAAAAGUUAAUAUGAAAAAUACUUUUAAUGUCUACCAUCUCUUACAUUUCACACAGUUCUUUUUAUUUAUUGUAAAUAAAAGUAAAUGGAUAAAUUUGAAAAUAAACUUUUAAUUAUUGCAAACUAUGAUUAUCAAUUUGUAAACUUACCUUUGACUUAAUGUACAUUUUUAAAUGUAGCCACUAAAUUCUCUAUAUUUAACCUAUUGGUUUCUCUCAGUAAACGUUUUUAAUCUCAUUUGAGUGCUGGGCAAUUUAUAAUUAUCUACAAAGGUUUUUUUGUUUCCUAACAAGUUUGACUUUUUUGCACAUUUUUGAUAAUGUUUAAUUUGUACACUGAUAUAUUACUCUGACCAAUAAUUGUUGAGUGUAUGAGUAUCAUGAAUGCGUGCAUCAAACUACUGUCUGUGUCUCUUGUUUUAACUUCUUUCAAGAUGUACAUCUUUCAAGAUGUAGCUAUCAGUUAAUAACUGCUAUGACUGACUUAAGUGGACCUUCUUGCUUUUACCAAGCAUACUUAUCUAUGGUUCUAUCUUUGUUGAAGAACUCAGGAGUUCAACAUUACUUUCCAAUUUUAUAAUAUAGUCUAAAAUCCAUUACUAAGCUGAAAGUAUGCUUUGUAACUCUAUGUAUCAGGGGAUGUGUGUUUGUGUGAAGAUGUCUUUUUCUGUUUGUAGGCACAUGAAUAUAUCCCAGUAAAUUCUUAUUUUCAUUUUAUUUCUACAUUUUUAUGAACUUGUUUUAUAAGGGUAUUAUUUAGUUAGGAUAAAUAUAUAUAAAAGCUUUCUGAGAGAUUACUAUAUGAAUAUAUUUUCAGCUGGCUGAUCAAAAAUAUUUUUUUAAUUUUGUUUUUAAUCAUUUAAGAUGUAUUUGUAUUUCCAGAAUUGGACACAAGUUGUACUUAGAACUCAGUUAAAAUACUCCUGAAAGGAAAAUCAUGGAAUUCUCUUUUGACAAUUCUGUGAAAUGCAAAUUAGAAAAAAAGGCUUUAAGAAAUAGCAAAAACACACUGUUCACUAACAUGGACCUUUGAAUUGUCAGAGCUGUGGAAAAAAAGUGAGAAACUAAAUUGUUUUAAUUCAAGAUUUUUGUAUUUCCAGUUGCUAUAGGCUUGUCCUACUGUUGUUUUUAAAUUUGCCUUUAUUUUCCCAAAAGAUUUCAGCUUUUUUUAGUUUUUCCUUACUGAGCAAGGUCAGACUGGGCUUAUAAAACAAUACAUUGGCAUAUAUGAUGCUUUGUAAUUGACUAUAAAUUGGUUUAGAAAUGUCCACACCCCAUUGUUGUGUUGGUUAUACUGUACUGUGUGUUUUUAGGAACUGGCAGAAAAAGAAUUGGAAAUUAGGUUUCCAAUCUGACAGUGUUACUGUAUUUAAAGAAAACCUUGUUUUUAAUUUCAGGUACCACGUAAAAUUACUUGUGUUAGGAAUAAAGUCCACUGUUGAAGUUGAAUGUCAUUUGUUAAAAGGAACCAGUGUGUUUAGAACCUAUCAGAAGCCAGAUAUAGUGUGGUAUGUGCCACAUUUCAUGCACAUUUGAGUUUGUGCUAUUCAUUUAAAAUAUGCUUGUAAAAAUGUAUAAAAUUCCUGAAUUUUAUUUCUAUGUACUUUUUUUUGCUGUUAAAUAGCUUUUUAAAAAAUUAAUAUAAAAAGAAACCAUGUUUAUAUUUUGUUAGUGAUCAAUGAUUUUGUUUAUAUGGAAAUUUGUAUAUUGUUGGCACUCAUCUUUUGUUUAGAUUUAUCAUGCAUGAAGGCUUGCAAUAAUUAGCACAAUGAAAAUUGCUUUUUCUUAUAUGUUCAUUUUUUUGUUUUUUUGAAAGAUUGUGGUGCAAAGGCUUACUUUAAGUAACCUUCUGGACUAUGGAACGAAUAUAAGUGAAUGGCACUUUGAGUGUUAAUAAAGC
ensembl:lncRNA